GCCGGGUGUGGUGGCGCACCUGCAGUCCCAGCUACUCAGGAGGCUGAGGUGGGAGGAUCGCUUGAGCCUGGGAGGUCGGGGCUGCAGUGAGCCGUGAUCAAACCACUGCACUCUAGCCUGGGCAACAGAGUGAGACCUCAUCUCAA
rnacentral:SRP_RNA from 1 species